CCGCUACUACAACCGCUCUUAAAGGGUAUAAGUGUUAUUAUAAGUAACCACCCAGCAAAAGGCGAGUCUUAGUAUAAAA
rfam:Gemella asaccharolytica strain KA00071 genomic scaffold Scaffold74, whole genome shotgun sequence.